rnacentral:miRNA from 1 species
UGAUGAUAAUGACGAUGAUGAUGAUGAUGACAUGUAUCGUGUUUAGAUAUUAUGACGUGUGAUUAUUCGAGUUACUUGAUGAUGGUCAUCAUCAUCAUCAUCACAACCA